AAAAUUAAGAUGUGACAACAAGAUAUGGGGUCUUUCUUACCUCCUGGCUGGCUUGUCAAGAAAUAUUACUGAAUGGAGGGUCUUGUGGAGCUUCUUUCCAGGUGUCCCAAAACAAGAAUUGGAAAAGACACACAGAAAAGUCAGUGAAAGUGUACAUUUAUUGAAGGCAGAAAAGAAGUAUGCUCUGCAGAGAGAGAAUGGACCAGUGAAAAGGCUCACAGCAUCUCCAAGGCAAUAGAAAAGAGAUCUGUAGGCCGAAUCACCCUGCUGCAGACAGGCAGGUCUGCCCACACCCUACCGAGGUCCUAAGUCACGCAGAGGACGCCGAGUCAGCCCGCUGCAGACAGGCAGCCACCUGGUUCCACACUACAAAGACGCAGAGGACAC
rnacentral:lncRNA from 1 species